AAAGAGAUUUCGGGGUGUUCUUAUCUUCUUCAACAACAUCAUAGAUAAGGGCUGAGAAAAUACCCAUUGAACCUGUUCGGGUAAUGCCGUCGUAGGAAUCAUUGAAUGUUUAUUG
rnacentral:ncRNA from 1 species